CAGUUUGCCUAGGUUAUCGCACGCCCAGCGUGAGGAAAGUCCGGGCACCACAAAGGAGGAUGCCGGAUAACGUCCGGCGGGGAGCAUGAGCUCCUUAGGGAAAGUGGCGCAGAAAAUAUACCGCCUGUAUUUAGAUAUAGGUAAGGGUGAAAUGGUGGAGUAAGAGCCCACCGCCUCGCUGGCAACAGCCGAGGGCAGGCUAAACCCCAUCCGGUGCAAGACCAAAUAGGAACCCCGCUUAACCGUACCUUGCGGAAGGGGUUCGGGUAGGUCGCUAGAGGUAGCGAGUAAUCGCCACCCCAGAUGAAUGAUAAUCCACGACAAAACCCGGCUUAUCGGGCAAACUGCAUA
rnacentral:RNase_P_RNA from 1 species